ANAGUUUGAUGAUGGCUCAGAUUGAACGCUGGCGGCAGGCCUAACACAUGCAAGUCGAACGGAAACAUGUCUAGCUUGCUAGAUGAUGUCGAGUGGCGGACGGGUGAGUAAUGCCUGGGAAUUUGCCUUUGCGAGGGGGAUAACCAUUGGAAACGAUGGCUAAUACCGCAUAAUACCUACGGGUCAAAGGGGGACUUGUUCCUCCCGCGUGAAGAGGAGCCCAGGUGAGAUUAGCUAGUUGGUGAGGUAAAGGCUCACCAAGGCGACGAUCUCUAGCUGUUCUGAGAGGAAGAUCAGCCACACUGGAACUGAGACACGGUCCAGACUCCUACGGGAGGCAGCAGUGGGGAAUAUUGCACAAUGGGGGAAACCCUGAUGCAGCCAUGCCGCGUGUGUGAAGAAGGCCUUCGGGUUGUAAAGCACUUUCAGUUGUGAGGAAAGGUUAGUAGUUAAUACCUGCUAGCUGUGACGUUAGCAACAGAAGAAGCACCGGCUAACUCCGCGCCAGCAGCCGCGGUAAUACGGAGGGUGCAAGCGUUAAUCGGAAUUACUGGGCGUAAAGCGCACGCAGGCGGUCUGUUAAGCUAGAUGUGAAAGCCCCGCGCUCAACGUGGGAUGGUCAUUUAGAACUGGCAGACUAGAGUUUUGGAGAGGGGAGUGGAAUUCCAGGUGUAGCGGUGAAAUGCGUAGAUAUCUGGAGGAACAUCAGUGGCGAAGGCGACUCUCUGGCCAAAGACU
rnacentral:rRNA from 1 species